AUGGACUGCUGCGGCGGCCUCCUCCUUUGCCAAUGCUGGAAGAGACCGUCUCGAGCCGGCUCCGCCGGCGUGGAGUUCGUCGUGUGCAACCCGGCCACCGAGGAGUGGACUGUUGCGCCUGCCACCAAGCAGCUGCACCCGAGCAAGAAGAACAUCGUCCGCUUGGGUUUUGACCCACUCGUCCCCUCCCGCUUCGCCGUGUUCGUACUCGUGCGCGACCACGGGGCCACCAGAGUGGAGAUUUUCUCAUCGGAAACCAGGAGGUGGAUUUCCAAGGAGAGCGAGUGGGGCGACCGGACCAGCGUGGAUGAUCACAAUUGUUCAGUCUCCGUCUUCUUCGGUGGGGCGCUGCAUCUGACUACCCACGAUUCCUCCGUGAUCACGGUGGACACGGAGGGGAAUACUUGGCGGAAAAUCCGAAUGCCGCUCAGCGUAGAGGACACCUCGGAUUACGGUUAUAUCGCGCAGUCUAAGGGACGCCUGUAUGCAAUGCAUAUGGAUUACUGCAAUGGUAAUUGCUAG
rnacentral:rRNA from 1 species